GAGGCUGCAUCUCCAAAUUCCAAGCCCAGCGGCUUUAGUGCCAUUCUUUGAAUUCCUUUUAAGUAAUGCACUCAGUGAGGACACGUUCUUAUGGGAUCACAAUCUUCCUCCUGGGACAAGAAGUCACAGCCUCCCUUGUCAAUAUACCCGUCAAGACAGAAGCAUGAUCACUACCAGACGCUACUUCCCAGAACGUGCCUAAUUUGUCGCAGUGGUGUCAGUGAAGCGCAGACUGUCCCUCAGGAGGGCGAGGGGCAGUGGCCUGCCUUCCCCUCCCUGCCUCCUCUCAGUGGAACCACAUCUCCUCGCCGAAUCCAUGCACUUGCUCCUUCUGAAAACCCCAUGGUAAGAGCAAGUGUGAGGAGCUAUGGAGCAGAGCUAUUCCUGUGUCGCGUUCAUCUGUAGGCUGAUUUGAGAGGGGCUGACGUGUUCACAGGCCAGCUGUGCCACCUCAGGGUCUCACUGCACCCCUCCAGUGACUCAUACUCCUUUGAUGGUCUCCAAAAAGUGUUACGAAUUUCAUGUGCCUUU